CAGCCGCCGCGGGAAUACAGAGGGUGCGAGCGUUAAUCGGAUUUACUGGGCGUAAAGCGUGCGUAGGCGGCUUUUUAAGUCGGAUGUGAAAUCCCUGAGCUUAACUUAGGAAUUGCAUUCGAUACUGGGAAGCUAGAGUAUGGGAGAGGAUGGUAGAAUUCCAGGUGUAGCGGUGAAAUGCGUAGAGAUCUCGAGGAAUACCGAUGGCGAAGGCAGCCAUCUGGCCUAAUACUGACGCUGAGGUACGAAAGCAUGGGGAGCAAACAGGAUUAGAUACCCCGGUAGUCCCUGUCUCUUAUAC
rnacentral:rRNA from 1 species